rnacentral:rRNA from 1 species
CCAGACUCCUACGGGAGGCAGCAGUGGGGGAUAUUGCACAAUGGGGGAAACCCUGAUGCAGCGACGCCGCGUGUGGGAAGACGGUCCUCUGGAUUGUAAACCACUGUCCCCAGGGACGAAAAUGACGGUACCUGACUAAGAAGCCCCGGCUAACUACGUGCCAGCAGCCGCGGUAAUACGUAGGGGGCAAGCGUUAUCCGGAUUUACUGGGUGUAAAGGGAGCGUAGACGGCGGCGCAAGUCCGGAGUGAAAGCCCACGGCCCAACCGUGGGACUGCUCUGGAAACUGUGCGGCUUGAGUGCGGGAGGGGCAGGCGGAAUUCCUAGUGUAGCGGUGAAAUGCGUAGAUAUCAGGAGGAACACCGGUGGCGAAGGCGGCCUGCUGGACUGCGACUGACGUUGAGGCCCGAAAGCGUGGGGAGCAAACAGGAUUAGAUACCCCAGUAA